CAGCCAAUGACUAGCAGGACCUCACAGAGCCAAUGGGAGCGGGGCUCUGUCCGGAUAUAUAUUUGGGGGCGCAGUGACUUAGUUUCUCUGCUGGGGUGGGCAUGGCUGGUUGUUGGAAGGCGCGCCAGAGCCCGCUGCUCCCCUGCAGGAGAGGGUGUCUGGCCAAGCCGAGGGCCUGGCGCUGGCCUCGGGCUGCAGCCCCCGUGGAGAUGUCUGACUCCAGGUCAUUCCCAUAGGCCGGGGAGAUCUCUCUAAUGAGAGACGCCCGGGGGAGGAGUCUGGCAGCGUGGCCCGAGCUGGUACAGGUGGGAGUGCUGUGGUGACUUGCUGUGGGGUUCCCCCGUGCAGCCUGCUGUGCUGGCAGCUGGGGAAAGGGUAUACCCUCUGACCAUAAGGCUGCAUGCUUGCCUCCGAAUAGAAGCUGCUAUGGCAGAAAUCCCUUCUGUUUUGUCCUGAAUAUAUCUUUGUCUGAGGCGCAAGUCCUUCCUGGCCUUCUUAGCUCUGAACAUUGUCUUAAAUGAGCAUUAUGGCUCGGCUUCAGGAACUGGCUGAAUACAAGGAACUAGUGGUUUGGGUGUUUUUGCUUCCUGUUGUAAUAGCUCAGUUGAGACUUGCUUCAGUUCUCACUGUGGAUGGAGAGGUACCAGCAGGGAGCUGUGAAGUUUAAGUUCAAAUGGAUCACAGUGUCAUCUUCAAAAAGUGAGAUCAUGGAAAAAAAGCUUUCAGAGUUAAGAGGGGCUUAAAGUUGGUCUGAUUGCUCUUAAAGUGUACAAACAAGAUAUUCAAGCACUUGUUACAGCAGCCCUCAUGAGCUUUCCUCUACUGAUGAAUAAAACCUGCUCUUAGUUGAAAUG